GAUGAACGCUGGCGGCGUGCCUAAUACAUGCAAGUCGAGCGAACGGACGAGAAGCUUGCUUCUCUGAUGUUAGCGGCGGACGGGUGAGUAACACGUGGAUAACCGACCUAUAAGACUGGGAUAACUUCGGGAAACCGGAGCUAAUACCGGAUAAUAUUUUGAACCGCAUGGUUCAACAGUGAAAGACGGUCUUGCUGUCACUUAUAGAUGUAUCCGCGCUGCAUUAGCUAGUUGGUAAGGUAACGGCUUACCAAGGCGACGAUGCAUAGCCGACCUGAGAGGGUGAUCAGCCACACUGGAACUGAGACACGGUCCAGACUCCUACGGGAGGCAGCAGUAGGGAAUAUUGCGCAAUGGGCGAAAGCCUGACGGAGCCACGCCGCGUGUGUGAUGAAGGUCUUCGGAUCGUAAAACUCUGUUAGUAGGGAGGAACAGAUGUGUAAGUAACUGUGCACGUCUUGACGGUACCUAAACAGAAAGCCACGGCUAACUACGUG
rnacentral:rRNA from 1 species